GUGAAAGGCCAAUCAAACCGGGAGAUAGCUGGUUCUCCCCGAAAGCUAUUUAGGUAGCGCCUCGUGAAUUCAUCUCCGGGGGUAGAGCACUGUUUCGGCAAGGGGGUCAUCCCGACUUACCAACCCGAUGCAAACUGCGAAUACCGGAGAAUGUUAUCACGGGAGACACACGGCGGGUGCUAACGUCCGUCGUGAAGAGGGAAACAACCCAGACCGCCAGCUAAGGUCCCAAAGUCAUGGUUAAGUGGGAAACGAUGUGGGAAGGCCCAGACAGCCAGGAUGUUGGCUUAGAAGCAGCCAUCAUUUAAAGAAAGCGUAAUAGCUCACUGGUCGAGUCGGCCUGCGCGGAAGAUGUAACGGGGCUAAACCAUGCACCGAAGCUGCGGCAGCGACACUAUGUGUUGUUGGGUAGGGGAGCGUUCUGUAAGCCUGUGAAGGUGGCCUGUGAGGGUUGCUGGAGGUAUCAGAAGUGCGAAUGCUGACAUAAGUAACGAUAAAGCGGGUGAAAAGCCCGCUCGCCGGAAGACCAAGGGUUCCUGUCCAACGUUAAUCGGGGCAGGGUGAGUCGACCCCUAAGGCGAGGCCGAAAGGCGUAGUCGAUGGGAAACAGGUUAAUAUUCCUGUACUUGGUGUUACUGCGAAGGGGGGACGGAGAAGGCUAUGUUGGCCGGGCGACGGUUGUCCCGGUUUAAGCGUGUAGGCUGGUUUUCCAGGCAAAUCCGGAAAACCAAGGCUGAGGCGUGAUGA
rnacentral:rRNA from 1 species